rnacentral:rRNA from 1 species
CAUAGCGUAAUGAAGCGAACCGGGGGAACUGAAACAUCUAAGUACCCCGAGGAAAAGAAAUCAACCGAGAUUCCCCCAGUAGCGGCGAGCGAACGGGGAGCAGCCCAGAGUCUGAAUCAGCUUGUGUGUUAGUGGAACGGUCUGGAAAGUCCGACGGUACAGGGUGAUAGUCCCGUACACCAAAAUGCACAGGUUGUGAACUCGAAGAGUAGGGCGGGACACGUGGUAUCCUGUCUGAAUAUGGGGGGACCAUCCUCCAAGGCUAAAUACUCCUGACUGACCGAUAGUGAACCAGUACCGUGAGGGAAAGGCGAAAAGAACCCCGGCGAGGGGAGUGAAAAAGAACCUGAAACCGU